GACGUAGGGCGCAAGCGUUGUCCGGAUUUAUUGGGCGUAAAGAGCUCGUAGGCGGCUUGUUGCGUCGACUGUGAAAACCCGCGGCUUAACUGCGGGCUUGCAGUUGAUACGGGCAGGCUAGAGUUCGGUAGGGGAGACUGGAAUUCCUGGUGUAGCGGUGAAAUGCGCAGAUAUCAGGAGGAACACCGGUGGCGAAGGCGGGUCUCUGGGCCGAUACUGACGCUGAGGAGCGAAAGCGUGGGGAGCGAACAGG
rnacentral:rRNA from 1 species